CGGACGUGAGGAACCUGCCUCGGAGUGGGGAAUAACAAUACCGAAAGGUAGUGCUAAUACCGCAUAAUGCAGUUGGGUCGCAUGACUCUGACUACCAAAGAUUUAUCGCUCUGAGAUGGCCUCGCGUCUGAUUAGCUAGUUGGCGGGGUAACGGCCCACCAAGGCGACGAUCAGUAGCCGGACUGAGAGGUUGACCGGCCACAUUGGGACUGAGACACGGCCCAG
rnacentral:rRNA from 1 species